rnacentral:rRNA from 1 species
UACAGAGGUCUCAAGCGUUGUUCAGAUUCAUUGGGCGUAAAGGGUGCGUAGGCGGCGUGGUAAGUCGGGUGUGAAAUCCCGGAGCUUAACUCCGAAACUGCAUUCGAUACUGCCGUGCUUGAGGACUGGAGAGGAGACUGGAAUUUACGGUGUAGCGGUGAAAUGCGUAGAUAUCGUAAGGAAGACCAGUGGCGAAGGCGGGUCUCUGGACAAAUGCUGACGCUCAUGCACGAAGGCUAGGGUAGCGAACGGG